rnacentral:lncRNA from 1 species
UUAGAAACUGUUUCACUGUUUCUCCAAGCUUUACCGGAGGGAAGUUAAAGUCUGUUGAAUAUAAGUUUCUCUCUCAAAAAUCAAUUAGCCUAGGGUUACAAAAUGCCCCCUUUAACUCCAAUCCAGUCCCAGGACCCUAGCAUAGCCUCCUCAACAACCAAGGAUUCUUCACAGGCGAAGAUGGUUUCUGCUCAUUCAAGGUAAAAGCUGAUUUUACUUUUUAUUUUUUACUUUUCUUUCCCAUUUGUGUUUAUUGGGUUGUGGGUGCACACUAAUUUUUCUUCAAGCCCUUAAUUCUUGUUCACAUGUUAACCCUGUCUUUGUGAGGUUUUUGUUGAUGUAAAAACACUUGCAUGUUGGUAUAUUUGACUUCUGUUGCAAUUUUUAUUUUAAAGAUGUGAUUUUUAGAAAAGUUAUCUUUAAAUUGUACAGUUUGUCAUGUCACGUGGGAUUAAUUAGGGUUGUUUAUUUUGUAAUGACCUUGGUUCUGGCUUUUAUUUGAAAUAGUGAUUAAAAAUAUUCUGAUAAAUGAUAAUGGGAGUUUGCAAGAUUGAAGUUAAAAAUGACAUGUGUUUCAGAACAAUGGUUAUUAAAGUAUUUAUGUUUUUAAACCAUAGAAUUAUUGCAAUCAUAAAGAUGAGGAUGUGACAGAUGUUUCCUCAUCUAUUAUAAGGACAUUUACUACUUUAGUAAGCUUGGUGGAAUGCAAGCAAGUUAUACCCUCAAAUGUAGUUUUUAUGAUUGUAAAGAGUGCCUGCUUUUUACCUAGAUUGUCAUAGUUAUAGCAACAAAGGAGAUUCUAUGAGAGAUGCUAUAGAGAAGUUUCUUAAGGAGGAGUAAUAAGGUGAGUUCGGGCAUCAUUAGUGGAAGAAGAUGUUUGCAGUGAUUGAUUGUAAAGGAGUGUUAAUUGGUAAAGAGGAAAAAAGUUAACAUGCCGUGUUGGGAGAUGGCUAUGGAUUAUGGAGGAAUACAUUAAAAAGGUGGAGCUCAUUGAAGUUAGUGACUGAUAAGAAAUAUGGCGCAACCAUGAUGAGUUUAUGUCACUAUGGUGGUGGACAAUGGGCAAAGGCAUUCUGCAGAAUGAUUUAUUUGGGAUUAAACCCCUUAAAGAAGAAUUGCCUGAUUUGUGCUGCUUCUCUGGCGUUAAUUGCAACGAUUCUCAGACCUGCGUUUACCAUCAUUUGGCAACCAUGACUUGUGGAAGUUCAGUUAUCAAUGGUCACUUAGGUCUUUAUAUACUAAUGAAUCAAUUGAAUUCCUUAAACAUUUGAUCUUUGCCUUAAGUUGACUUAGUAAUGUACUUGUGUAAUAGAAAUUGCCACAUUGAAGCCUAUGAAGUAUAUAUCAUGAACCUGAAUAAAGUUUCUAGAGGAUUCAGCAGUGCUUCAAAUAGUCCACCUUGUUCACAUGUUUUAGGAGCCAUUUCUCAUUCUUAUGAGUAACUCUCUUUUUUCCCUCUGUUGAUAAAAACAUACUCUAGAGGAGUACUAAUCUGUAAUAUCAAACUGUCAUUUAUUGGAGUCACUUACUCUUGAGAAGAUGUUUUAAGCCCAUUUGGCUCUUGAUUGCUUCAUUUAACAUUUUACACUGAAAACUGAAUAUGUAUUUAAGCUUUUCACAUUUUGAUUGCUGCCUUUUAGUGAAGCGGUCUCUGCCUUAAGUACUGCACCUCACACUUGCUUUCUUCUGCAAUGCCAGGUCCAGAAUUAAGCGCGAUGCUUCAAAGAUUUUGCAUUGUUCAAAACUUGCAGAUUAUCAGUAAAAAUCUGUCUUCUCCAGCUUUACUGGAACAUGUAAACUGCUAAGCCUAUGAGGAGUAGUAGGGAAUGAAGCCGCCGGUCCGCAGAUCAAGUCUGUGUUCAAUGAUUGUAUUAUACUGAUCUUUCCUGAUAUGGGAUUAGCAUAUCCUAUAGUUUUAAUUGUUUUUUUUUCCUGCAAAUUUUACCCCAAUAGUUUCAUCUGAUUCUUGUAUCUAAACUAGUCAUAUUCUAGUAUGAUGAUGAUGAUCAAGUGUUGAUGCUCAAUUUUCAUUACAGCUUCUAUAAUUGCUGCAAG